AGGGCUCGGAUGAUCAAUGCUCAGUCUCAGCCUUGCUCCUGCUGAAGUCACAAGUGAGUUCUAACAAACCCCCCUCUAAGGCUACCUCCUAUUGCCUGCUCUUCAGGACAUGAGGAACACAUCCACCGAAAACUAUGUUUUCUUUGCAUCCUAACUGAAACAGCAUUAAAGGGGGAAAUGGGAAUUCAGCGCUGCCAGCUACAGUAUCUCUCCUAUCAGUUCACCAAUAAGGCCUGGUAGGGACCUGCCGAGCCUCUGGAUAAAUUGUAUUUUCCAAGGGUUAAUUAAGCUGUCUUGAGCUUCUGCAUGAAGAGGAACAAACUGGCACUUGCAGCGCUUUCUGAAACCUGCUGUCGACAUUACAGUCCCUGCUGCUUUUAGCUGUAUCGAUCCGAUGCCUGACCUGUGAAAUCCUUGAUGGCUGCUAACACUAGAAGCUUACUGGAGCUUUCCAAGGGAGCUUCGGGACAGCUUGUGUAGUCAGGUACAAUUACCUAUCCCUCCAGGAGAGCCAAUUAGUUCACAAAGAGCUGGA
rnacentral:lncRNA from 1 species